GCUGGGUGUGGUGGUGCACACCUGUGGUCCCAGCUACGCAGGAGGCUGAGGCAGGGGGAUCACUUGAACCCGGGAGGUUGAGGCUGCAGUGAGCUGUGAUAGCACCACUGCACUCCAGCUUGGGCGACAGAGUGAGACCCUGUCUCAA
rnacentral:SRP_RNA from 1 species